rnacentral:lncRNA from 1 species
CGUCUGUUUCCCGGAAAGCUACAGACUCGUUGGUCUGGACCAUUUCAAAUCGGACAAGUCUUUCCAUAUGGAGUGGUAGAGUUGCAUCAUCCAGAGAAGGGGAACUUCAAAGUGAACGGCCAUCGGCUAAAGCGAUAUCAUUGUAACUCGUUGGAUAGUGAGCAACGAGUUGACUUGGCUUUGUAUGCACAGAAAGGGUGAUCCGAAUGAGUCACGCUUAAGACUCUGCAAAUAAGCACUUCUAUACAUUCGACUUGGAUUAUACUUUCAUGUUUUUAAUUAGUUAUGAUUGUUUCAUUAUUUUCAUUUGACUUUAUUAUAGUUGCUUAAAAAUAAUUAGGUUAAUUUUAAUUUUUCGGACUUAUAGAAUCGAAGAGGACAAACUCUUAUGUUUGACCAUAUCUACUUGUUUAAUGAUCUAAUUACAUGCAUAUGUGUUAAUUAUAGGUAUGGGGGCAAGGCGACUCGAGUCGGCAAAAGGCAAGCCUAGAAAAACUCCGUUUCACCACGGUUUCCGUGGCCAUCACGGGCUGCAUCACCAGGCCGUGCUGAUGAGCACGGCCAGAGUCAAGACCGUGUUGAAGAAUAAAGAGUAAUUAUCACGGCUUCCGAAGGCAGCACGGGACACAACCCCUAGCCGUGUUGGGAAGCACGGCCGUGCCAACGCCCGUGCCAAGGAGCAUCCAAAGAAGGCUAAAGGAUCAGCACGGGCUGAGUCCUAGCCGUGCUUAUCAGCACGGCCUUACCCUCACCCGUGCUGAAACCGUGCCUAUAAGAAGUGGAGGCCUCCGAAAAUUUUACUUCCCUUUUGUUUUUCUCAGCUCAAAGGUGUUGUUCUUAUACCCCUAUCUCACCCUUCUCACUUUCCUAAGUGAACUCAGGUAAGUCCCUUCAUUUGUUGCAUUAUAUUUUUAUUAUUAUUAUGAUUUCACUUCUAUUUUAGACAUAUACUUUUGUUAGGACAUGCUAGGAUAUUUUGGUGGCUCUAUAUUGUAACUAUAUGACCUUGGUUAGGUUAAUCUACAUUAGUUGUUGUGUUUGUGGUGUAGUUGGUUAUGAAAUUGAUAAGUGUGGG